rnacentral:rRNA from 1 species
GACGAACGCUGGCGGCGUGCUUAACACAUGCAAGUCGAACGGAAAGGCCCUGCCUUUGUGGGGUGCUCGAGUGGCGAACGGGUGAGUAACACGUGAGUAACCUGCCCUUGACUUUGGGAUAACUUCAGGAAACUGGGGCUAAUACCGGAUAGGAGCUCCUGCUGCAUGGUGGGGGUUGGAAAGUUUCGGCGGUUGGGGAUGGACUCGCGGCUUAUCAGCUUGUUGGUGGGGUAGUGGCUUACCAAGGCAUUGACGGGUAGCCGGCCUGAGAGGGUGACCGGCCACAUUGGGACUGAGAUACGGCCCAGACUCCUACGGGAGGCAGAGGUGGGGAAUAUUGCACAAUGGGCGGAAGCCUGAUGCAGCAACGCCGCGUGCGGGAUGACGGCCUUCGGGUUGUAAACCGCUUUCGCCUGUGACGAGGCGUGAGUGACGGUAAUGGGUAAAGAAGCACCGGCUAACUACGUG